rnacentral:rRNA from 1 species
AAAUAAAAAAUUAAUUAUUAAACAAGUAAUAAAAAAAUUUUUAAAUAAAAAAUAUAUAUAAUUGGGGGGUUAUAGUAUUUAUAAAAAAAAAAUUUUUUAUUUUAUAGUUAAAUAGUAUUGUAAAAGAAUUUUUAAAUAAUUGAAAAUGAUUUUAUAUAAAAGUAAUUUUAAUUUAAUGUAUCUUGUGUAUCAGAGUUUAUUAAUUAUAUUUUUAUAAUUAAAACUUCUCGAAUUUAAAAGAGAUAAUUAAUUAAUAAAGUUAUUGUUUCAUAAAUAUUUUUAAUAAUUAAUUUGAAAUGAGAUGUUAAUCGUUUUUAAAUAUAUCUAGUUUUUUUAGAAAAAAAUUUAAUUUUUAAUUAAAUAAAAAGAAAAUUAAUUAAUUAAUUUUCUUUUUAUUUAAUUAAAUAAUUUAAGGGAUAAGCUUUAAAUUAAAUUUUUAUAAUUUUAUUAAAUUAAAUUAAAAUUUUUAUGAUUUAUAUUGUUAAAAAAUUAUUAUUUAUUAUAAAUAAUUUUAUUUAAAAAUAAAAUUUAAUUUUAUAUUUAAUUUUUUAUAAAAAAUUAAUUUUUAAUUAAAAAAUAUUAAAUAUAAUGAUAAAAUUAGUAAAUAUAAUAAUUUAUAAAAUUUAAAAUAUUUUUUAAAUAUUAUUAAAAGGAAUUCGGCAAAUAAUAAAAAUUAUGUUCACUUGUUUAUCAAAAACAUGUCUUUUUGUUUAAUAAUUUAAAGUCUAAUCUGCCCACUGAUUUAAAUAUUGAAGGGCUGCAGUAUAUUGACUGUACAAAGGUAGCAUAAUCAUUAGUCUCUUAAUUGGUGACUUGUAUGAAGGAUUGGAUGAAAUAUAAACUGUCUCUUAAUUAUAUUAUUGAAUUUAAUUUUUUAUUUAAAAAGUUAAAAUAAAUUAAAAAGACGAGAAGACCCUAUAGAGUUUUAUAAUUAAUUUUAUUAAAAUUAUUUAUAAAUUAUAAAUUAAAAUGUAAUUAAUUAUUUUGUUGGGGUGAUAGAAAAAUAAAUUUAACUUUUUUUAAUUUUAAACAUUAAUAAUUGAAUAAAUGAUCCAUAUAAUUAUGAUUAAAAGAAAAAAUUACCUUAGGGAUAACAGCGUAAUUUUUUUUUUUAGUUCAAAUAAUAAAAAAAGUUUGCGACCUCGAUGUUGGAUUAAGAUAAAAUUUAAAUGCAGAAGUUUAAAAUUUUUGAUCUGUUCGAUCAUUAAAAUCUUACAUGAUCUGAGUUCAAACCGGUGUAAGCCAGGUUGGUUUCUAUCUUUUAAUAAUUAAAAUAUUUUAGUACGAAAGGAUUAGAUAUUUAAAUUAAAUUUAGUUUUUUGAAUUUUAUUAAAUUAAUAUAUAUAUAUAUAUAUAUAUAAUUAAUAAAUUAAAAA